CCCUUAGAUGUUCUGGGCAGCACGCGCGCUACAAUGGUCUUCGCAAACGGAUGCAUUCUCGAAGGAGAAUGCCAAUCUUGGAAUCUAUGCCUUGGUCGGGACAGUUGCUUGCAAUUUUUCGACUCGAACCAGGAAUUCCUUGUAAUCGUGAUUCAUCACAUCACGAUGAAUACGUCCCUGCCCUUUGUACACACCGCCCGUCGCUCCUACCGAUCGAAGAGUUAGGUGAAUUGUUUUGAUCGAUAAGAUUUGACUAUGGUCAACUCUCGUUGUGAAAUUCUGUGAAUCUGACUGUUUAGAGGAAGGAAAAUUCGUAACA
rnacentral:rRNA from 1 species